AUGCUGUCUGGAGUGGCCUUGGAAACCAAAUCAAAAAGAGACUUUAGAGUAGUGGCGCCAUACUCACCUCUUCUUCCUCAAAAUCGUUGGAAGACAUCCACCACCGAUAACCUCUUCGUCUUCCACGAAAACUCAACCUCUUCGUCUUCCUUACAACGGCGCCCUACUCACCUCUUCUUCCUCAAAAUCGUUAGAAGACAUCCAUCGCCGAUAAUGUUGCCAUCAUACUCUGAUCUUCAUAUCACUUGGUUCGUCUGUUCAAGCUUCCACAGUAACGCAGCUUCACCAUUCAAUAUCAUCUCAGAUUCGAAUCCUGUCCUUCUUCAAGCUCCUUCUCAGCACAACCAUCAAUUUCAAGCCCCAAAGCUUCACCUUUAG